CCUACGGGCGGCAGCAGUGAGGAAUAUUGGUCAAUGGGCUUACGCCUGAACCAGCCAAGUCGCGUGAGGGAAGACUGCCCUAUGGGUUGUAAACCUCUUUUGUCAGGGAGCAAUUGGCGCUACGUGUAGCGUUAUCGAGAGUACCUGAAGAAAAAGCAUCGGCUAACUCCGUGCCAGCAGCCGCGGUAAUACGGAGGAUGCGAGCGUUAUCCGGAUUGAUUGGGUUUAAAGGGUGCGUAGGCGGAAUGCCAAGUCAGCGGUAAAAUCGCGGGGCUCAACCUCGCUCCGCCGUUGAAACUGGCAUUCUUGAGUGGGCGAGAAGUAUGCGGAAUGCGUGGUGUAGCGGUGAAAUGCAUAGAUAUCACGCAGAACUCCGAUUGCGAAGGCAGAAUACCGGCGCCCAACUGACGCUGAAGCACGAAAGCGUGGGUAUCGAACAGGAUUAGAUACCCGUGUAGUC
rnacentral:rRNA from 1 species